GGGGCGGUGGCGGCGCAGGCGCACCGGCAGCAGGGGUGGGGACGGCGCUCUGCGGGCGGCGCGUUCGGAGCUGCUUCUCUCUCAUAGCGCUGCUGCAGGGCAGCACGGCAAAAGCCGUUCCGGUUCCUUUUUAAUUUAGUACGCGUGGAGCGGUAAGGAAAAGAAAAGCCUGCUGAAAAUACGUGCAUCGGUUUGGGCUGCGGAUCGAUUUUGGAAGCGUUUCCCGUGACAGUCAAUUGCGUUUCUUCAUGUAAAGUUUAUUACACGCUUUAAUCACCGCUGUUUCCGGCUCCUUUUUACUGUUUCAGAGCCAACUACAGAAAAUGAAUGAGGGAUUUUGUCGUGAUGUGCACCAUUAACAGGACUGCUUAUUAGACUCUUAAUGAACAACAUCUGCGUGCUCGCUCACUCCAAACAAAUAACAGUUGGGGCGCUGGAACAUUUACAGCUGCUGGGAUAUGCAGUAACGAAGAACUGACUGAGUUUUCAGCCCGAACUUACAGAGAACACAAAGCAGGGCAGUCAGUACUGGCGUUUUCAAAAGGAGGUGCUUUGCAAUAAGUUGCCACCAAAGCCCUUUACUUUGCAGAAAUUGAAAGGUGUGCACAGCAUCAUUUUCUGCUUUAAGACAGAAGACAAAACAGUUCCUUGAUACAGUCCUAACGCCAUUUAUAACAACAUUCCCUGGGUGGAAGGAACGCACUUCAGUGUCCUGCUAUGGCCGUGGCACUGCUUUAAGGCUCACUGCAGUGCAGAAGGCACAGGGUGGAACAAACUGUACUCUGUAAAAGAGUUGUGAUUCCUUUUACAGCUUGAAAUAGAAAGAAGAGACAAUCCUAAUCUACUUAUAAGAACAAGCUGAGCAAGAUGCUGAUCCACACUCCUUUAUUUCUCUGUUUUUCUCUAAGAGCAGUCAAGAAAACAAAUCAGUAUGGAGAAAAACAGCUCAUUUGCAAACAGGCAUUCAUAUCCAUCCACAAAAUUGCAAUUUGUUUGGUAAAUACACUCUGGAAAGAUAAUCUGAUGAAAGAGAAGUUAGAACUUGGAUUUCAGCCUUCAUUUUAGAUGCUGCCAUAAUUUCCAGCUAAAAGGAAAAAAAAAAACUAAUUAAUAUGUGAUGCUGUAACAGCCAGACCCAGAGCCAGGGGUAGAUAUGGGCUUCCUCAAUUGUGCCCUUUUUUACUGUUGCAAAACCUAUCUGCUAUACUGAGAGUUUAUAAGAGUAAGAAGGAACAGGACUGCGGGUGAUAGGAUUUGUCCUGGGGAGAGUAAGAAAUAGGAAACAAGAGGUUUGGACAUACUUCUUUUUUCCACACUGGCUGACAAGCAAUGUAAGGUCUCUUCUGUAGACUUGCUAACUUAUUUUGAUCUUGCUUUGUAAAUGGAAUCAGGACAUCUUUCCGUAUAUUUAAUCUGAAAAGUAAAUAAAGUUAUUACAUUUUCUCAUAUAUUUCAGAAAUACUGAUUCCAAGUUACUGCUUUAUAAGCCAGAAUAAUGGAUGAAAACAGCAAACAAUAUUGGAUUUAAGUGUUGGAUGUUGGUUUUAUUGCUAUUGCUUUAUUUGUUUGAUAAAUUUAGUCAGAUUUUAUUUACUGUCUAUGAAAGAGAAGAAGACUUUCAUUCCUUUUGGGAAAUAACUAACCUCUUGAUGUCGGAUGGAAGGAGACCAAGCCACUUUAUGCAUGGAACGGUGAGCUGGUGAGCCUCAAAAGACAUUGACUAGAAUAAGAAAAACCAAUUGUAACAUUCAGAGACUUUUAGUUAAAUCCUUUGAGAUAUAAGCCUUUCUCAGUUACUGUCAGGUUGUAUUACAGUUGGUUAACUCUUUUCACUGUCAAAACUUUACAGGAGGAAAUAGUGCAACCAGAACUUACCAUACUCCAUUAUUGAGAACAGUUUCUUUUUUAUGGCUUCAGCCAUUAGAGAUUCUAGAUUGGUCCCUUCUGUUCUUUUUAUUUUGUCAUGCUGUUUUUGUUUGUUUGCUGUCACCUUGAGUUCCAUUGCCAAACAAAACUGAAGCCAGGAGAAGCAGUGACAACUACAAUUGGAAGUUCCUGAUAUUUCCUGCUACAAGCACCACAUUAUAUAUAAUCAGCGAAUUUCACUGUGUCCCUGAGGCUUCUGUUAUGACAUAUACAUAACAGAACAGAGCGAGCCUGGACAUCAUCCAUGACUGUUUCCAGAAGAACCUCUACAAACUUACCGUGUGGAUCUGCAUCCAUAAGAGUGAAAAUAGGAAUUUGAAACGUAUCCCACAGCUUUCUGACCAGAAGUCGUGUGUUAAGAUCUGGUAUACCUCUUCCCUAAGGAAACAAAAUAAAGCAGACAGUUUUAAAUUAAUUAAAACAACAUCUGGCUACAUAUAUGUUUAUAUUUGCCAUUUUAAAUGUGCAAACAAAACGCCUGCAGGAGAGUUUCUCCAACAGGCCUGAAGCAUUAAAAGGAAAAGGCUACUUUUUUUUCUUCUCAAAAGUAUUUGUAGCACUGAAGACACAAUGUAAAACAAGGUAUAUAUAGUGUGCUACAGAGUACAAGUGCUUGUCUCUCUUAGGUAUGGGAGUUUCUUCCUCACUGUGAGCCACCUUGUCCCACCUUAUCCAAGUGUAGAUAUUCACACAUCCCUCCAGUUCUUAAUUAACUAAUGAAUUAAUUAAUUCUGCAAGCUCCAUAACUUUCAAUAAAACCCAUAAAUCAAGCAAUUUUAUUUCACUUGGGCUUGCUAAGUUUAGGAUCCUGGGGGACAACAGCAGGGUCUUUCUGUGACUUUGCAGCACCCAGAUGAGUUGGAUAAGCUACCAGGCUCUAGGAGGAUGGUUGGAGGAAAUAAGCCUUUACAAUGUUCAUUUUGUAUUUUCAUUAUCAGUAAAAUAAAACACUAUAAAUAUGGUAAGAUACAC